rnacentral:tRNA from 1 species
UGAGAGCUGGUGAAUAAACAACACAAAUGAAUUUGAAUCAUUAGAAGGAACCAAAAAUUCCGCUUUCAU